GAUAGGCGGCUGUCGCUACUGUGAUUGGACACUGACGCACAGUCAACUAGCCUUGUGAGCGUGGUUCUUCACGCGUGGAACCCGUGGGCGGUCCGAGCCACGAGGGGGGAGGCUCGGACCGCCCGAU
rnacentral:ncRNA from 1 species